GCAGGGAGCCCAGUGUGUCGGACUCUCCUCACCGGGGUUCAGUCAGCAGCCUGGAGAGAGAAAGUCCUGAACCAGGAGAGGCCAGCGAGGACGAGCCGCUGCACUACCAGCACUACUACCCCCACAGCUACCCCCACAGGAUAAAGCAGCAUCAGUCUGAUCUGGAGGACGAUCUGUGAUACUGCAGCUCAGAUCCAUCCAGAAACAGAAGCUGGGAUCGGCAACAGCUGGGAUGGAAGACACUCAGAGGAGGUGUUGGCAACAUGAACUGCAUUGACCUGACUCUCUUCCACCCCUGAAUCUGUGUCUUACCUGUCUGUCAGUCAGUUUGAUUUAUUCUGCUGCACCAUCUCAAGUUCUGGAUUCCAGUCGACAAAAUCUCCAAUGUGUUCCUGGUACAUCACUGAAUCUGAUGCUCCCUGCUAACAUUCUGACACAUGGGACAAAAUAUUUGAACAUUUAAACAUGAAGCACCAUGCCGUUGCAAUUUAUAGAAGAUUUCAGGUCACCGUUGAUUUUAAUUACAGUAAUUUCAGAAUGCUAUAAAUUUGACUUAUAGAGGUUUGAUACUUUCUGCAGACCAAUUAUUUAUAACAGUGAGCAAUAUAUGUAAUUCAUUUUGGUUUUGAUGUAUUAAAAAUUGAUAGUGUACCUCCAAAAAAGCAUUUAAUUCAUGGGCUAUAGUUAGCAGUUUUUAGUUCUUCUAAGUUAUUUUAUUUUAGUUCUCAUUAUAUUAUAUUAUAUUAUAUUAUAGAAAAGGUGGUGUAAUAUUGGCCCCAUUUAUUGCUCUACCCUUGCUCCACUGUUGAACCCCCAUCUGCCUGAAUAAAAUCAGUGUGGCAGCAGCUGGCAGCUUCUUAUCACACAGUUUAUUUUCAUUAUUUUAUCAUUACGUGUAACCAGAUGUGUACAGGACGGCAUUAUACGGCUCUGUGGAAAGGGUUCAGUGAGCACAGUUUUAUGACUCUCUGGGUAAAUUACACUGUUUAAUUCACUCAGAAAUUCAGUGAAAAAGUGAGAGACUCUGACAAUUCCCUGAAAUGAAGAUUAAAUCUGAAUAAAAACUACAUGUUAAACAUAUAAAUGGGAAGAUAAUGGGAAGAAUAGCUGACUGAUUUGUGUAACUGCUAAAUUGACUUGGUUAAAGUCAGCUUUACCUCUCAGUUUUUGUAGAUGUUUGGUUCAAGUUAGCUGCUAAAACAGUUUGUUUUAGGUUUACCUAAUGAUUUAGUUCAGCAACUAAAACAAUUUGGUUUGGGUUAGCCAAUAGUUAACUACCCCAAAACAGUUGGCUUUGGGUUAGUCAGAAGAUUAAUAUUAGGAGAUACAACUGUUUCUUAAAGUUAGGAACAGUGUAGUAGAAGAAAACAGUUUAGUUUAUCUGCUAAACAAUGUGUUUAGCAGAUAAACUGAUUGUUUCAGGAUAGUAGAUACAACAGUUUGCUAUAUGUAAGCUAACAGAACAGUUAACCAACCCAAACAGUUGGUUAGCUAAGUCAGUUUGACAGAAAUAACAGUUUGGUUAAGGUUAGCUAAUGGAUCAGUAGCUAAAACAGUUUGCUAUAUGUGAGCUAACGAAACAGGUAAACAGUUGGUUAGCUAAGUCAGUUUAGCAGAGAUAACAGUUUAGUUAAGGUUAACUAAUGGGUUAGUAGCUGAAAGUUUGUUAUAUGUAUGCUAACAGAACAGUUAGCCAACCUAAACAGUUGGUUAGUUAAGUCAGUUUAGCUGUAACAACACUUUGGUUAAGGUUAGCUAACGGUUCAGUAGCUAAAACAGUUUGCUACAUGCUUGCUAAUUUAGCUCCUGGAGAAGGCAGUUUUGUUGAGGUUAGCUAAUGGAUCAGUUCAACAACAAAAAAAAAAAAAUAAUUUGGCCACAUAACUUGAAACAGUUUGGUUUGAGUAAACUAUGGCAUCAGUUACGCAGAGCAAAUUGUUUGGUUCAGAUUACCUUCCUAAUCGGCAGUUAAAAACUUUGGUUCACAUUAGUUCAGUAGCAGUUUGAUACAGGUAAGCUAACGGAAUAGUUAAAUAGAGAAAUGAGUAGUGUAUCAAAAAGAGAAAAAAGCAUGUAAUUUAUUUAUUUAUAAUUUAUUGAUUUGUUGGUUUAGGUUAUCUCACGAUAAGUUUGGCAGGUAAAAAUAUUUAGUUCAGGGUGGAUCAAUUAAAACAGUUUAAUUCACAUAUGCCAACAGUUUAGUAGCUUAAACAGUGUGCUUCAUGAAAGUUACGGAAUGUUUACCAGCAUAAUUGGGUUGCUUACACAUAAGUGUUUCAGAUUAUUUUUCGUUAAUGUUAGCAGCUUAACCAGCUUGAUCCAGGUUAACACUGGGUCAAAUGCUGCCCUCAAACAGGGUCAUGUUUACUGUGUCCACAAGAAGAGUCGAUAGAAAUACCACCCUCUUUGGUGUUCAUGAACUUGAUAACGUUGCAUACUUGAUACAUCCAUAUGUGUCCAUACAUGGACUACUCUGCAUAUCAAUCCGUAUGUGUGCAUGUUUUCUGAAAACUUACAGAUACAGACGAAACAGAGCAGUACCAUCGGAGAUCGUAGAGGCAGUGUAGUGUAACGUUAGAUCAGGUGAGAUAUUACUGUAGGAAAUGAUGAAGACAUUUAAAAUAUGGUGGAACGGAACAAAUCUGAAAUGAAAAGAUAUAUCCGUCCACAUGUUGUGAUGUAUUUAAUGGCCUCACAGACCACCACUGUCUACCUUGCAGCCUCUGUUAAAAGGUACAUUAUUAGGCCCACAACCUCCUCCACUGUCACCUUGUUUGUUGUUGUCUGAAACUUAUGAC